GUGACAUGCCACCUAGUGCUUGCCACUGUAAUUCCGUAAUGUAAUUUGAGGCUAAGCAUUAUGGUACUUCCAGCAUUUUUCUCUCUGUGGCUGCAGACUGAGCGGGACACAGGAAAACUCCCCGUUACAAGAUUAUGAACAUUACACUGAACAAGACUGGUCUGAUAAGAUAUGAAGAUUCUUUCAGGAGGUGGUUGGGAGGAACUGGAGGAAUGGAAGGAGGAGAAGCUAUGGUCAAGAUGUUUUGUAAGAGAGAAGAAUAAAUUUUAAAUUUUUCAGUGUU